rnacentral:rRNA from 1 species
CCAGCAGCCGCGGUAAUUCCAGCUCCAAUAGCGUAUGCUAAAGUUGUUGCAGUUAAAAGGCUCGUAGUCUAACUUAUGGCCUCGUGAACCCUGUCUAUCCUCUAGUAGGUUACGAACAGGUGUGCAUGGGUCAUUUUUCUGAAAAGUAUUGCUGCCCUUCACUGGGUUUGCUUUAUAAUUCAGAUCAUUUACUGUGAGUAAAUCAAAGUGUUCAAAGCAGGCUUUAAUGCUUGUAUGUUUCAGUAUGGAAUAAUAAGAUAAGACUUCAGUUUUACUUGUUGGCUAUGAAACCAAAGUAAUGAUUGAAAGGGAUAGUUGGGGGUGCUAGUAUUCGGUGGUCAGCGGUGAAAUGCGAGGACCCAUUGAAGACUAACUUAUGCGAAAGCAUUCACCAAGGAUAUCUUCUUUGAUCAAG